GAAGACUUACUUGAUAUCUGGUCAGAAAGUCAAGGAGCCCCAUUGCAGUUGUGCACAAGCAUUGCUUUCUGGCCUGGAGUCAGGGGAUGGUACCAAGGUACAGGCAGUGCCAUCAGUUGAGAACAUUGGUGACAUGACAAAGACUCUCAGGCACUCAGAAAAUCUGAAGACAUGCCCUUCAUGUAGUGUUACAAUUGCCACCAACUGUGAUGUCAGUAUAGAGGAAGGAGCUAUCCAAAAUGGCUGUCAGGAUGAACAUAAAAACAGUACUAAGCAGGCUCCUGGUGGACACAGUCCAAAGACCCAGAAUGGACUUUUGAGUCCUCCACAGGAAGAAAAGCUCAGCAAUAGCCAGACAUCACUUUAUGAAAUGUUGCAAGAGAAAGGAAGAUGGGUAGGAGUGAGCUUGGAUCAGACAGCACUUCUUCCACUGAGGUUUAAAAACAUCAGAGAGAAGACAGAUGCACAUUUUGUGGAUGUGAUUAAAGAAGACAGGUAAGAAAGAAUUAUGUAACUUAAAAGCAGUC